rnacentral:rRNA from 1 species
UACGGGGGUGGCAAGCGUUACUCGGAAUCAUUGGGUGUAAAGGACAGGUAGGCGGUUUAUUAUGUGAGGGGUGAAAGCCAUCGACUUACUCGAUGAAUUGCCUUUCAAACUGAUAGACUUGAGGUUGGGAGAAGGAAAUGGAAUUAGCAGUGUAAGGGUGAAAUCUGUAGAUAUUGCUAAGAACACCAAUGGCGAAGGCAAUUUCCUAGCCCAAACCUGACGCUGAUCUGUGAAAGCUAGGGGAGCAAAC